AUUGCGACCCGACCUGAAUGGAGCUCUUUUUGUGUAGCAACGCGAAACAAAAAAGCGGGAAUGGAGGGCGGAAUUUGUC
rnacentral:misc_RNA from 1 species